GGGUUGUGAGGUUAAGCGACUAAGCGUACACGGUGGAUGCCCUGGCAGUCAGAGGCGAUGAAGGGCGUGCUAAUCUGCGAUAAGCGCCGGUAAGGUGAUAUGAACCGUUAUAACCGGCGAUACCCGAAUGGGGAAACCCAGUGUGACUCGUCACACUAUCAUUAACUGAAUCCAUAGGUUAAUGAGGCGAACCGGGGGAACUGAAACAUCUAAGUACCCCGAGGAAAAGAAAUCAACCGAGAUUCCCCCAGUAGCGGCGAGCGAACGGGGAGGAGCCCAGAGCCUGAAUCAGCAUGUGUGUUAGUGGAAGCGUCUGGAAAGGCGCGCGAUACAGGGUGACAGCCCCGUACACAAAAGCGCAUGUGCUGUGAGCUCGAUGAGUAGGGCGGGACACGUGGUAUCCUGUCUGAAUAUGGGGGGACCAUCCUCCAAGGCUAAAUACUCCUGACUGACCGAUAGUGAACCAGUACCGUGAGGGAAAGGCGAAAAGAACCCCGGCGAGGGGAGUGAAAAAGAACCUGAAACCGUGUACGUACAAGCAGUGGGAGCCCCACCACUAAGCCAGUGGUGAACUCCACAUACGCAUCCUUUGCUGAGGAUACGGUUAACGGAGCGAAAGCGACGUUCAACCUCAAAAGAAGCAGAGGGGGCUUAGUGGUGGGGUGACUGCGUACCUUUUGUAUAAUGGGUCAGCGACUUAUAUUCUGUAGCAAGGUUAACCGAAUAGGGGAGCCGGAGGGAAACCGAGUCUUAACUGGGCGUUAAGUUGCAGGGUAUAGACCCGAAACCCGGUGAUCUAGCCAUGGGCAGGUUGAAGGUUGGGUAACACUAACUGGAGGACCGAACCGACUAAUGUUGAAAAAUUAGCGGAUGACCUGUGGCUGGGGGUGAAAGGCCAAUCAAACCGGGAGAUAGCUGGUUCUCCCCGAAAGCUAUUUAGGUAGCGCCUCGUGAAUUCAUCUCCGGGGGUAGAGCACUGUUUCGGCUAGGGGGCCAUCCCGGCUUACCAACCCGAUGCAAACUGCGAAUACCGGAGAAUGUUAUCACGGGAGACACACGGCGGGUGCUAACGUCCGUCGUGAAGAGGGAAACAACCCAGACCGCCAGCUAAGGUCCCAAAGUCAUGGUUAAGUGGGAAACGAUGUGGGAAGGCCCAGACAGCCAGGAUGUUGGCUUAGAAGCAGCCAUCAUUUAAAGAAAGCGUAAUAGCUCACUGGUCGAGUCGGCCUGCGCGGAAGAUGUAACGGGGCUAAACCAUGCACCGAAGCUGCGGCAGCGAACGUAUCACCCAAGACAACUUUACGGAGUUGACGAUUGACGGAGCGAAGCGACGUCAAAGCGUUCAUUAAAGUCGAGUUGGCUUAGGGAUACGUUCGUUGGGUAGGGGAGCGUUCUGUAAGCCUGUGAAGGUGGCCUGUGAGGGUUGCUGGAGGUAUCAGAAGUGCGAAUGCUGACAUAAGUAACGAUAAAGCGGGUGAAAAGCCCGCUCGCCGGAAGACCAAGGGUUCCUGUCCAACGUUAAUCGGGGCAGGGUGAGUCGACCCCUAAGGCGAGGCCGAAAGGCGUAGUCGAUGGGAAACGGGUUAAUAUUCCCGUACUUGGUGUUACUGCGAAGGGGGGACGGAGAAGGCUAUGUUGGCCGGGCGACGGUUGUCCCGGUUUAAGCGUGUAGGCUGGUUUUCCAGGCAAAUCCGGAAAAUCAAGGCUGAGGCGUGAUGACGAGGCACUACGGUGCUGAAGCAACAAAUGCCCUGCUUCCAGGAAAAGCCUCUAAGCAUCAGGUAACAUCAAAUCGUACCCCAAACCGACACAGGUGGUCAGGUAGAGAAUACCAAGGCGCUUGA
rnacentral:rRNA from 1 species